CCUACGGGAGGCUGCAGUGGGGAAUAUUGGACAAUGGGCGAAAGCCUGAUCCAGCCAUGCCGCGUGUGUGAAGAAGGCCUUCGGGUUGUAAAGCACUUUCAGUGGGGAAGAAAGCCUUGGGGCUAAUACCCUCGAGGAAGGACAUCACCCACAGAAGAAGCACCGGCUAACUCCGUGCCAGCAGCCGCGGUAAUACGGAGGGUGCGAGCGUUAAUCGGAAUUACUGGGCGUAAAGCGCGCGUAGGCGGUCUGAUAAGCCGGUUGUGAAAGCCCCGGGCUCAACCUGGGAACGGCAUCCGGAACUGUCAGGCUAGAGUACAGGAGAGGAAGGUAGAAUUCCCGGUGUAGCGGUGAAAUGCGUAGAGAUCGGGAGGAAUAACAGUGGCGAAGGCGGCCUUCUGGACUGACACUGACGCUGAGGUGCGAAAGCGUGGGUAGCAAACAGGAUUAGAUACCCGAGUAGUC
rnacentral:rRNA from 1 species